rnacentral:rRNA from 1 species
UGGGGAAUCUUCCGCAAUGGACGAAAGUCUGACGGAGCGACGCCGCGUGAGUGAUGAAGGCCCUUGGGUCGUAAAGCUCUGUCAUCAGGGACGAACGGUCACGUCAGGAAAUGGGCGUGAAUUGACGGUACCUGAGAAGGAAGCCACGGCUAACUACGUGCCAGCAGCCGCGGUAAUACGUAGGUGGCGAGCGUUGUCCGGAAUUAUUGGGCGUAAAGCGCGCGCAGGUGGGAUCUUAAGUCUGUUCUGAAAGUUCGGAGCUUAACUCCGUGAUGGGAUGGAAACUGGGAUUCUUGAGUAUCGGAGAGGAAAGCGGAAUUCCCCGUGUAGCGGUGAAAUGCGUAGAUAUGGGGAGGAACACCGAGUGGCGAAGGCGGCUUUCUGGACGAUGUCUGACACU